rnacentral:misc_RNA from 1 species
GAUGAAGAACGUAGCGAAAUGCGAUAAGUAAUGCGAAUUGCAGAAUUUCCGUGAGUCAUCGAAUCUUUGAACGCACAUUGCGCCCACUGGUAUUCCGGUGGGCAUUCCUGUUCGAGCGUCAUUAUCCUCCCUCAAACCCCGGGUUUGGUGUUGGACCCAAGUUGUGUGAACAACUGGUCUCAAAGACAAUGACGGCGUCCGUGGGACCCUCGGUGCAACGAGCUUUUAGGAGCACGCAUCGAGUUGCAAGGACCUUCCGGGCCGGUCUCCUUUACCAUUUUACAAGGUUGACCUCGGAUCAGGUAGGAAUACCCGCUGAACUUAAGCAUAUCAAUAAGCGGAGGA